rnacentral:rRNA from 1 species
UACGAAGGGGGCUAGCGUUGUUCGGAAUCACUGGGCGUAAAGGGCGCGUAGGCGGCUUUAUAAGUCGGGGGUGAAAGCCUGUGGCUCAACCACAGAAUUGCCUUCGAUACUGUAGAGCUUGAGACCGGAAGAGGUAAGUGGAACUGCGAGUGUAGAGGUGAAAUUCGUAGAUAUUCGCAAGAACACCAGUGGCGAAGGCGGCUCUCUGGACCGAGACUGACGCUGAGGCGCGAAAGCGUGGGGAGCAAACAGG